AUUGAACGCUGGCGGCAUGCUUUACACAUGCAAGUCGAGCGGCAGCGCGGGGGCAACCCUGGCGGCGAGCGGCGAACGGGUGAGUAAUGCAUCGGAACGUAUCCUCGAGUGGGGGAUAACCCAGCGAAAGUUGGGCUAAUACCGCAUGAGCUCUGAGGAGGAAAGCGGGGGACCUGCGAGGGCCUCGCGCUGGAGGAGCGGCCGAUGUCCGAUUAGCUAGUUGGUGGGGUAAAGGCUUACCAAGGCGACGAUCGGUAGCUGGUCUGAGAGGAUGAUCAGCCACACUGGGACUGAGACACGGCCCAGACUCCUACGGGAGGCAGCAGUGGGGAAUUUUGGACAAAAGGGGCAACCCUGAUCCAGCCAUGCCGCGUGAGUGAAGAAGGCCUUCGGGUUGUAAAGCUCUUUCGGACGGAACGAAAUGGGCGGGACUAAUACUCCUGUCUGAUGACGGUACCGUAAGAAGAAGCACCGGCUAACUACGUG
rnacentral:rRNA from 1 species